GACGAACGCUGGCGGCGCGCCUAACACAUGCAAGUCGAACGAGCGAGAGAGAGCUUGCUUUCUUGAGCGAGUGGCGAACGGGUGAGUAACGCGUGAGGAACCUGCCUCAAAGAGGGGGACAACAGUUGGAAACGACUGCUAAUACCGCAUAAGCCCACGACCCGGCAUCGGGUUGAGGGAAAAGGAGCAAUCCGCUUUGAGAUGGCCUCGCGUCCGAUUAGCUAGUUGGUGAGGUAACGGCCCACCAAGGCGACGAUCGGUAGCCGGACUGAGAGGUUGAACGGACACAUUGGGACUGAGACACGGCCCAGACUCCUACGGGAGGCAGCAGUGGGGAAUAUUGCACAAUGGGGGAAACCCUGAUGCAGCGACGCCGCGUGGAGGAAGAAGGUCUUCGGAUUGUAAACUCCUGUUGUUGAGGAAGAUAAUGACGGUACUCAACAAGGAAGUGACGGCUAACUACGUG
rnacentral:rRNA from 1 species